GACGAACGCUGGCGGCGUGCCUAACACAUGCAAGUCGAGCGGGGACAUUGGGGCUUCGGUCCUGGUGUUCCAGCGGCGGACGGGUGAGUAACGCGUGAGCAAUCUGUCCCAGACAGGGGGAUAACAGCUGGAAACAGCUGCUAAUACCGCAUAAGACCACAAUGUCGCAUGACGAAGGGGUCAAAGGAGCAAUCCGGUCUGGGGUGAGCUCGCGUCCCAUUAGGUAGUUGGUGAGGUAACGGCCCACCAAGCCGACGAUGGGUAGCCGACCUGAGAGGGUGAUCGGGCCACACUGGGAACUGAGACACGGUCCAGACUCCUACGGGAGGCAGCAGUGGG
rnacentral:rRNA from 1 species